rnacentral:ncRNA from 1 species
UGUCUUCAGGGCAGGGUGUGAUUCCCGACCGGCGGUGACACUUAUAUGAUGAGUGAAGUCCGCGAGCGCAAGCUGACGUGGUGAGAUUCCACGACCGACAGUAUAGUCUGGAUGGGAGAAGACA